UUGGAGGGCAAGUCUGGUGCCAGCAGCCGCGGUAAUUCCAGCUCCAAUAGCGUAUAUUAAAGUUGUUGCAGUUAAAAAGCUCGUAGUUGAAUUUCGGGAUCAAUAUGUCGGUCGUGCCUUGGUACGUACUGGUAUCAUUGGUUUCUCCUUUCUGACGAACCAUGAUGUCAUUAAUUUGGUGUUAUGGGGAGUUAGGACUGUUACUUUGAAAAAAUUAGAGUGUUUAAAGCAGGCUUGAGCUUGAAUACAUUAGCAUGGAAUAAUGAAAUAGGACGUUCGAACCUAUUUGUUGGUUUCUAGGAUCAACGUAAUGAUUAAUAGGGAUAGUUGGGGGCAUUAGUAUUCAAUUGUCAGAGGUGAAAUUCUUGGAUUUAUUGAAGACUAACUACUGCGAAAGCAUUUGCCAAGGAUGUUUUCAUUAAUCAAGAACGAAAGUUAGGGGAUCGAAGACGAUCAGAUACCGUCGUAGUCUUAACCAUAAACUAUGCCGACUAGGGAUCGGAUGAUGUUAAGUUUUUAAUGACUCAUUCGGCGCCUUACGGGAAAC
rnacentral:rRNA from 1 species